AUUGAACGCUGGCGGCGUGCUUAACACAUGCAAGUCGAUCGGUAACGCGGGGGCAACCCUGGCGACGAGAGGCGGACGGGUGAGGAACGCUUGGGAAUCUGCCUAUCAGCGGGGGACAACACGGGGAAACUCGUGCUAAUACCGCAUACGCUCUACGGAGGAAAGCCGGGGACCGCAAGGCCUGGCACUGAUAGAUGAGCCCAAGCCGGAUUAGCUAGUUGGCGGGGUAACGGCCCACCAAGGCGACGAUCCGUAGCUGGUCUAAGAGGACGAUCAGCCAAACUGGGACUGAGACACGGGCCAGACUCCUACGGGAGGCAGCAGUGGGGAAUAUUGGACAAUGGGGGAAACCCUGAUCCAGCGACGCAGCGUGGGUGAAGAAGGCCUGCGGGUUGUAAAGCCCUUUCGGUAGGGACGAAAGCUCUCGACCUAACACGUCGGGAGGUUGACUUAACCUACAAAAGAAGCACCGGCUAACUCUGUGCCAGCCGCCGCCGUAAGAC
rnacentral:rRNA from 1 species